GCUCCAUCUCACAUUGCUCCAUCCCACAUCGCUCCAACCAGCCCUUUCCCCCGCCCUCUUCAACCUCCGAGCUUUUUUUUUUUCUUUUCUUUCUUCUCCACUCGCUCUCCCUUUUCCCCCUUCCUCCCUCGCACUCACCCACCCACUCACCUUACUCACGCAUGGAGUCAUCUACCAAACCAACGGGCGACUCUGCUGCCCUCCACCACCUGGUUGACGUUGACUUAAGUCCGGAGCGCUUGUUUUGCGCUCCAAAUUCCCCGUCCUCUGCACCCAGUAUCCUCCAGUGAGACCCCCCCCCCCAUUCUUCCCAUCGUGCGUCCGUCCGUCAGUCAGUCAGCCAGUCAGUCACGCUGUGGUUUGAUCGGGCUCGCUCGUCCGGAGUGAAAAAGUGAAAAACCCUUGUUUGUUGUUCUUGUUUCAUUUUGUUUUUUCUAACUGCCUCCACCUCCACAAGGCUGCUUCUACCAACUCGCAUACUUUUGCUUUAACUUUUAUUGGCACAUGAUCUCGCGCGCGCACACACGCAGACACUCUCAGUCACGAUCGCACCACGGUGCUAGCAACUUACAAAACAACUAAACCGGCCCCUCCCCCGCCACCUUCAAGUUCCGGCUCAGGUUUUUGGCGUUUUUGUUUUGUUUUGUUUUUUGCUCCCCAUCUGUGCUGUGCUGUGCUGCGCUGUGCUGUUCUCCUCCCCCUUCACCCACCCCCUCCUGCAAAUCUGGCUCAGCGCUCAAAGCAGAGAUGUACCCUUGCGCAAACAAAAGCCACCACGACUGUGGCGUCCCAAAAAACAAAAAACAAAAAUCCCACACUCGCAACACCCCCCGUCCCCGGUCGCUUUCAAGUUCCGAGCCCAAGAAGGUGCAACAAAACCCCGCUCACCUUCAUCUUCCGAGUCGCUGCCAAGGGGGGCUGCUUGCUGCUUGCUGCUUGUUGCUUGUUGCUUGUUGCUUGUUGCUUGUUGCUUGCUGCUUGUUGCUUGUUGCUUGUUGAUCUAGAUGAUGUUGAAGAUGUUGCUGCUACUGCUGCUGCUACUGCGACAAACGCCUCUCAGUCCACCGUGCCCCCGCCUCCUUCAUCUUCCGGCCUCCAAAAUCAAAAACUCCUGCUAUCCCUAACCCCCAUCACCAUAAUGUCACCAUAAUGUCAUCACCCGUAUCAUCAUCGCAGGCAACUCCCAUCACCCUUCUUUGGCUCGACUUUGCUCCCUCUUCAACAAGUGCCCCCCUUCCCCCGCCUCCUUCACCUUCCGAGCCUGCUCCUUCAAAUCCCUCCCCUUGCUUCCCCCUUCGCUCCCACCGCCUCCUACACGCUCCCUAUCGUCCACCUAUGCGCUCUCACGCUCUCACCUCCCAACGCAAUACUCGCCCUCCCCCCUCAGCCUCUCACCUCAUGAGCGGAUUCCUUUCUCUCGCUAGAAAACAAAAAAAUCAAAAAACAAAACAAAAACCCUCUCCCCCAAAGUCCUAUCUUCAAAGUCGGCCUUGAGCGAAAGGCUCCCGCUCCAACAAACUCCACCCCCACCUCCCAGCUGCCGCUCUUGUAUCCCCCCUCCCACCUUCGCUCGCAUGCACAGCCCAGUACCGCAUCCCCCCCCCCAAAAAAAAAACAUACAUGCCUGUGCCCUCGACAGCUCCCCUCCUCCCUUUCCAUCCUCCCCUCCUCCCCCCUCCUCCUAUUGCUCUCCUACUCCUCCAUCCCUCCAUAAUCUCUCACUCACUUUCAUUUUUACCACUCGCUCGGCAAUCGUUUCCACCACCGAUGCUGGCGUAUACAGACAUUUUCAACUUCCGAGCGUAAUUUUCAUUCCAACUUCCGGUGGAUCGCAGCUCCUCCACCGCGCUCCGCCCCGCAACUCCCUCCGGUUCACAUCCCGGGCCGCUCCCUACCAUCACGCAUUCGUCUUGCGCUCGUGGUAGAGGGCGGGCACCACCAGGCAUUUUCACCCUCCGAGCACGCUUUUCACCCCGGCAGCCUAUGGACCGCGGCUCUUCCACCGCGCUCCGUAUCGCGACUCCCUCCCGUCCAUGUCCUGUACCGUUCCUCACCACCUCUGGGUACCUACUCUGCAUCCCCUAUCCUCUUAAUUCUUCCCCUGCACGCAUCUUCAUCUCCCGGACUGUGAAAUCGUCUCCUCGCCGCUUCCUUCUACGCCUCGCUCUGCCAAGCUCUGCCUAGACGAGAGCCCUCCGGGCACAAGACUGCGUAAGAAAACCAACGAGUCAGUGUUGCAUGCGGCGGACGUGACGGAAACUGCUCUUUCAACAGUGUGUACGUUCAACCUCCGAGUUUUUCCGUACACCUUCAUCCUCCGAUGAAUUUCCGUGCAUUUUCACCUUCCGAAGCGCCCACCAGCCACGUUUGAUAACCCAACUGCAGCUUACACAUUUACACUUUAUUCUUUUUGUUUGU